GUAUUUAACUGGCCGUUUGUAACACCGUUAGCCAAAACGUGCGUAUACAAUACUUAUGUGUGAAUUUACACCUAACUAAUUACUUACACUUGGUUUACACCAAAUACUUAACUGGACGUUAUUGACGACCGUUAAGUGUACAAUACACCCAUAAGAAAUCUAACGUAUUAGGGGAUUUCCUCCUGCCCUACUUUACUUCUUCUUCUCUGCUGAAAACCCAUCUCCGAGUCAUACCGUUCUCCAAAUUAAACCCAUGAACAUCAGCGAUGUUCUUCUCUGCUUUGUCAUCUGCUACUCCAAAUCAAAUACCUAUUUCAGAUUCCUCUUUUUUCAUCUCUGAUUCUUCUUCUCGGCAUUGAAUUCGAACAAAACCCUAACCCGUAAACCUAAAACCAUCUCAGAUCCAUCUACUCAUCCAAAUUAGGUGAUUCAAACACAAAUUUGUGCUUUUUGUCGUCUCAAUUCGACAACCCAUUUUCCAAUCCUCCCAUACCAGUAAAAACUCAUCAAUCCCCUCUUCACAGUAGCAGCAGGAAGAUGUCUAGGAGAAACUGUUCAUAGGGCAUAUAUGUUAAUGGGUGUUUACAGUUUGCCCUCAGCCAGUUGUGGGUUUUAAAUUCAGAGCCAUGUGUGUUUGUGGAAAUGUCAAUGAGAAACUAAAGGUUCAAUUUUGGACUUUCUGGUUUGGUCUCGCAUUACUGAGGAAUUAGUGGUGACUGGAAUCUUACAGUUGCAAGCAAUGGCAAAUGGAAGUGUUGGUUUUAAAUGUAUGUCUAGGAUACAGGAAAAGAAGAGCAGGUGUUGGUGGAGCCGUAAAUGAGAAUCACAGUGGGCUGUAGUUGUGUAAAGCUAAGAAAUGCAGGGUCACAAUGGUUGUGGUAGUAUGCAGUGGUGGUGCUGUCACUACAAAUGGUAUCUGCAGAUGAAGAAAAUGGUUUGUGAUGUUGAGAUAACGAAGUUGAGAUGGACAAGAACCUGACCAGUUGAAGAUAUUAACUGUCACCGGUUAAAGAGAUUGAAUCUUUGAAACAACUGGUGGUAAUGUGGUGCUGGAAGAAGUUCAAGGAGGAAGAGAUGGUUGUGCUGGUAAUUUACAGAGGCAGUUGGUGGAAUUACUGAAGCUGUUAUGAAUGGAUAAGCAGAAGAUAAAGUUGUUGUUGGUGCUGCUACCAGAGAAGGUGAAGAAUAUGUCAAUUUCUGGUGAGUAAUGGUUGUAUGUGAAGUUGCAGUGGAAGUUGGCGUUGCAGUGAACGAAGUGAAGUGCAAAGCUGGUAUGAAUUGCACGAUUUGGUGUUACAAGCCAGCAAAGAGAGGGGUUGGUCUUGGGUUAUCUAUUUUUGUUGCAGGUUUUUGUGUUGAAACUGGAGUUGUAGAUAACUUUCAGUAGGCUGUGAUGCAGUUGAAUGUAUGAUUGCAGUUAUGCAGGGAAUUGCAAGAAGAAAAAGGAACUCAGUGAGCUGGUAAAUGAAUGAAAAUAGAUGUAUAUGUUUAUGAUUUUAAUCUGAAGUUGAUUUGGUGCUGAUGCUCAUGGUACUUUUGGUGAUGAAGGAAUGUUGGUUCAAAAUGGAACUGGUGGGGUUGGUGUUGUAGCCAGAGAAAUGUUGGUGGUAUGAAGCUGCAACAAAGCUGUUGGGUUAGAGUUGAUGGUGAUCACUGAAGUGAGUUAGGUGGUAGAGUUAGACAAGAUGGAGUUGUUAAGCAUAUUGUCGUUGCAGCUCAUGGGGUCCAGAGGAGUUGUGCUGCAGAUGAGCUGGCGAUUGCAUGUUUAGCAGCUAUGGUUUGUUGUGGAUGAAAUAUUGCAGCUGCAGUAUUGAAUGAAUGAUUGAGAAUCAGGUGCUGUGUGUGUGUGCAGUUGCAACUAAGAUGUGAAUAAGGGUUUGUGUAUGUUGUUGAGUCAAGAAACAAGAAUUCUUGUUGAA